UGCGUUGAUCCUUUUGUUAGGACGCAAGUAAGGCUGAGGCCUGAAGCAACGGGAC
rnacentral:ncRNA from 10 species